ACAGAGAGGUCACAGCUUGCGGCCGGACGGCCAGGAGGAUGUGAAAGCAGUGACACAGAGAGGUGACAUCAGGCAGCACUGACACGCUCCAUGUGGCCCUCUGCUCCCUCAACCCUUCCAAACAGGAGCCUCUCAAACCCUGGCCAGCCUCCGUCCUGUGGGAACACGGUGCAGGGGUCCCCUAGCAGCGGAAAUGCCAUCCCUUGAGCCACGGCACAUGCUGGGGCAGAGAGCAGGCUUGCACCAUCCCUGCCAGACCCCCGUACAACGUCCUGUGCUGCAGGGGCUGCUUUCAGAGUAAAACAGAAGAGCUAAGCACAUUGUGACCGCUGUCACUUGCGUCAUGGACCCUUAAAGCAGGAAAACUAGGGGAAAAAAAAGCCAACAUACUGGCAGUGAUAUUAUUUGCAUCCUUAAAGAGUAAAGGACGCCCCUGGGAGGGAUGACAGGAGGACUUGGGGCAGCGCUGAACACGCGGAGCAGCGCUGGAGCCGCGUGGUUCUCCAGUCCCGCAACGUGCGCGCGUUCCCCACACCGCAGCGCUAAGCGGGUGCCUGAGCGUGCGUACACCGCCCGAUAACUCAUUGAGAAACAAAAACAAGGUCUGGACGUACUUCGCGGCACAAUAUAUGGUCCAGCUGACUGAAGCACAUUCCUAUGUAGCGAGACACACUGUAAACGCUAGCCACGAUCUCUAAACCAGUGCGUGACUCACGGAGGCCUUUUAUUCCUCUGAGAUACAUACAGCUGAGGCGAGUGGAAAAAAGCCAGGCUGUUGGCUGAAGCACGGUGGUGGAUGGCUGAAGAUGCGGAGAACAAUAGCAAGAGACAGCAAGCGACCAUCUCUGUCCAGUGGGGGGAGGGAAAAACCUGCUAGAAACUGCUAGAAACCCAUCAUACUGCAGGCAAGCAAAGUAAAAAAGCGUUACUAUGAGCGAGAUCUUGUUAAGAAACACUCUCCUGGAAACCUUGCAGCCUGCUGUGCGUUUUAAUGCUACACGAUGCAGCCAGCGAGCCAGAAAUUGCGUGGUGCCAAUGAGAAAAAGGCAGCAAACGUGAGGGAGAGUUUGGAGGUUGCAAGCAAGAAAUCAGCUUUUUGAACAAACCAGCGCAGGUUUUGGCGUGGGCUUGAAGGAAGCUGAGCAGCCGAAGAUGUCAGCGGAUGGCAAAAGCCACCGAACCCCAAGAACAGGCUGGGGUUGAGACCAAGGGCUGUAGUAAAAAAACCUCCCUCCUGCAGCCACUCAGGCAAGCCAGUCACUGCAGGAACACCCACAACUGGUGACAGCAGGGGGACCUCACCCAAGCAGCCAGUGCUGGAACAAACUGUGCCAGCCAGGGAUUUGCAGCCCAGGAGCAACGUGCCCCGACCCCAGACCCCAGCUGCCUGCUGGGGCAGGAUGCUGCAGGUCCCUGGGUGACCCCAAAGCCAAGCCGGCGCUGGCAGGGGAUGUGUCAGAGGAAACACAAGGAUCUGAGCUCUCACCAUGCAGCUCACAUCCUGCGAGCAUCAAACACCCCCUGCAUUUCCACUGAGGAAAGGCCACAACAAACACGGCGGGGACAAAGGCACCGGUCAGAACGAAACAAUCCCAGGAGGAAGGAAAGACCAGAGCAUCUGAGCAUUUCCUAGCAAUCAGGGGCAGAGAGUGCUGGGAAACCACCGAGAGCAUCACAGGCAAGAAACUAAAAUCAUUCAGUCUCCUCCUGGCUCUGCCCUGCUGGCCCAGCACCAGCUGCCCUUUACGUGCAGCCCCGCAGGAUGACCAGAGCUGUAGGGGUAAAACCUCUGCAGAGCAAGUGCUGAGCUCGCUGUGCCAAAAUCGGAUGAAGUGCAGCACUUGGCCUGGUCCGGGCCCCAGCUCAUCGGCCGUUGGCAGCAGCGGGGAUUGGCUCAUGUGGCCCGGGCUGAAGGAGGGGAGAAGAUAAGCCGUCCGACACCGUAAUGCACUGCACAGCGGGCUGCCGCCUUAUCGCUGCCUUUGGGGCCUGGUUUUCGGGCACACAGGGCAUGGGGAGCGGGGAGGCAGCUUGAGCCUCAGCCUGCUGUCGGUGGAAAGGUCUCAGCAGGGCUCGGCGGGGUUUGCAGCCCCUUGGAUACCCUCCCAGCCACGAGCUAUGGUCAACGUGCAGCUUCCUCAGCAAGUGCUGCCCCGAGAUGCUCCCCAAAGCAGCCUGGUUAUGACCAGAGGCUGAUUUAUUUAUUACAGCCACGAGUCCAGCUGCGCCUCCCCAGCGAGGGCGCAGGAGCUGGGGCCAGGGAGGUGCUCGGGGGUCAGUGCGGGUCAGAGCCUCCUGACCCUGCCUCUGGCUCUGCACAAACCUUCCUGCGGCCGGCCGCUUGGGAUCCCCUUCCCCUGCGUGUCCACAGAGGAAGAGGGGAGCUGGGGGAGGAAAAGGCUGACAGACAUCAGGAGCUUGAAUGCUACAGAUAACGAUAACUGAGGGCAGUGUUUGCAGCAGGGACAGCAGUGUCCAGCUCCUCCAGGACCACAAACGUCUCACAUCCCGGGGCUCUCGCUUCUCUCUUUCCAAGCCACGGCACUGCGAGCAGGAACGAGGCCAGCUCACACCACUGCCGGCAUUUCCCACCCCUGCUCUGGGACAAGGGGGUGUCACGCGAGCCACCAGGGCUCAGCCCGUGCCCCGAACACAGGGGCUCAGCUCCUCAGCCUGCUCUGAGGGACCGGAGGAGCCUCUUUCCCCGGCAUCUGCUCUGACACCAAAGUCCCGGCACACAACUUGAGGCUCAGCCCUCGGCAGCUGCCUGCGAGCGCCAGGACCUCCGGCUCACUGGCAGCAGCAAACACAUUUAUUACAAAACCAUAAGGCUGAUAUUUAACCCAUUACCCAGCUCCCCAAAGCAUUUACGUGCCCUGAGAAGGUGAAGCAGAAGGCAAAACGUUAGCUGACAUCUGAGCAGUGGCCCCACGGAGAGGAGCGGUGGGCGCCCAGCACUUGGGGGACCCCCGUGCUCUCUCUGCAGCUCGCAGCACCCGACUCAGCCCUUUCUCCCCGCACGCAGGCCGUUACCUCGCUUAAAGGACCAUCUCUUCUUCCAGCGCUUUGAAAACGACGGCCAGGAGUGGUUGAGCAGUGAGUCUGACAUUGGGGAGCCCUCGGAGCCCCGUGCGAGGAACAGCCCCGAGCAGGAGACGACAGCACGGCGCACGGCAGAGCUCAGCGCGGUCUAAGGCAGCGCUGCAGGCUGCAGCCCAGGGGCUGCCAAGGGGGGAGUGGAGAAGCCAAGUGUUUUGUCAGAAGUAUCAGCUGAUGGAAGCUGUAGCCAGAGAGAAAUUCCUGGUCUCCGGCGUUCCCACCUGUGUGACGGGUCAGUGACUUCCUACAGCGGGGCCCGGGGAUUAGUGGCCCCGCAGCACACGAAGCCCCGAACGCUGGCCGAGGCUUGCAGAGGGAAGCAGAAAACAGGCUGCAAACACACCCAAACCUGCCCCUCGCUGCCAAAACCUCCCUGCCCCGCUCAUGGUGCUCAGAUGUCAGCCGGACAAAUCGUCACCUGAACGGCCGUUCUGCAGGGGCAUGGGGCCCCUCCACCUGGGAAACGCAGGGCAAGAGCUGAGAGCUCCAGCUGGGUGUUUGCACCUGUAGCAUCACUUUGCAAAGCCUCUGCAAGGGAGGGUGCGCGACCCCCCCCCCCCCCCCCCCCGCCCCCAUCUGCAACGUUGGCAUCACCUUGGGGUCUUAGCAAGCCCCUGGCCCCUGGCAAAGAUCAUCCUCCAAGCCCUUCUCAGCUCCCCCACAAAGGGAGGUGGGAGCUGACUCCAAACUGCCAAAUCCCUGAGGUCUCUGAGCCCCACUGACACCAGUCCCACAGCUCACACUGGCUCCAAACCUUGCUCCCGAGCCCUUGAGCAGGCCGACAAAGCCUGGUUUUACACUUGCAGCCUCGCUGAGCAGAGCUCAGCUGAUUUGGGGACGGCCACAGGCAUCUCCGCAGCAUGAAGCCUGCUCUGUGCCGGUGUCACACAGAGGUGGGUGGUGAAGAGCGUUUCCCUCACCCGACCACAAACCUCAAGGCGUCAUCUGCCCAGCGCAGUCCUCCCACAUCCCCUCUGCAGGCAUCUCCCUGAUAACACGGGCACCCAGCUCAGCGGCGGCCCUUUUGAGAGGGUUUGGGGGACCCCAGCUCAGCCAAGCCCAAGCCCAGCUGUGGGCAGUGCUGAGGUCCUGCUGAGGGCGGGGGGGGGAGGCAUCUGCAAACCUUCAGCUGUGGCGUGGCAGCAGCAGGAGCAGCACCCGUGGGGUGUUUGGGCACCCCAGCACUGCCCCAGAGGCAGCCAGGGGGUCGCCCAGCGGGUUAAACCCCAACCUCCUCUUCAUGUGCAGCAGGGUGAGGCCGCUUCACCAGAAAACCCCGAGGAAGAUGAGGGACAACUCUGGUGUCGUUGGAUGGAGCUCGUGCGGAGAACGACUUACCCUGAAGGCUGGAGGCAUCUCUGGUGAGUUCCCCGAGCACGCUUGCACCUGACAGCCCCAACUUCUCCAGAUGCUGGUGCAAAGCAAGAAGCGGAGCCUCAUCGGGGAAGCAGCAGCCGCGCUGCCGGGCUGCUCGCGGGGGCCUCUGGCUCAACCAUCUCACCGCUUCCCCUUUCCGAAGGCACGAACAAGCCCGCCUCGCCCAUGCUGCAGUUCCUCCGACGUCAGCCCUGGCACGGCCCCGCUGCUCGCUCCAGCCCUCGCAGGGGUCGGGGUUCCAGCAGGGUCCAGCAGCCCCCGUCUGGGGGCCGCACACCCCAAACUGCCUGGCGCAGGGGCCUCGAGAGCUGCAGAACUGGUGAUGGCCACGAUGACAGCGAUUGCCGCAAACAGCUUCCUGUUCCGUUCGGAGAAAAACCGCUCUGCGUGCACCGUGAGAGCCUGGCACUAAGGGGCUGUGCCCGCGGGCUCGUUGCACCAUCGCUCGUUAGCCUCCUGCCAGGGGCAGCGGGGCCCAGCACUGGGCUCCCACAAACGCAUCCUUCCUCGCCGCUGUGGCAGGGCGGCUCCGGCAGACCCCGCAGCCCAGCAGGUCUUGGGUUGAGACGGGAUGAAGCGAUAGCAAAGAAACAAAGCACAGAGACUGCACCGGCUGAAUUUCUCUGUGCAGGUGAGGGGCAGACCCACAGGCACUCCAGCUCCAAAGCAAUGGGAGCGAGGGGGCGAGGUGCUGGUCCUCGCCGUGUGCGGUCCGGCAGGCAGAGCCCCCAGCACAGCCCAGGCUCAGAUUUUCAGCGCGGCCGCCUGCUCCUUUCCACUGAGCCCCGGGGGCCGCCGAGCGCACGCACCUCAUCCCACGGCCCUGAGCACAUGCCAGCCCCAGCCAAGCCCUAAUCAGAACAAGAUCCGCUCACACUCCAAUUACUCAGAGACCGCAGCCUUGGCAGCGCUUGGGAUAGCAAUUAUCCAGUGCUCCAGGAAACCACCAGAGCAAAGAGGAAUUAAGGUUUAAUUUCUCUCAAGUCCACAAGAGCUUGGUGAGGAUCAGGGAUCAGGACUUCUCCUAAACCAGGCAGCUGACGGGACGGUGCGUUGUCCUCACCACAAGAGAGGACCAGAGCUUACCCCCUUCCUUUCUGGUGUCUGAUAUGGUCUGGGGGUUAGUGAAGCAGAGCUACGCAUGUGGCCUGGAAGAGCGAUGAGGGAUGACGGCACGAGGGCUGGAUGAGCCUCAGCAUCCUCCCCCAGCAUCCCUGACUUGAGAGCCCAGCAGGCAGCAAACCUCCCGUGACAGCAAGGUCAAGUUUUGUUAGGAUCUCCAGAGAACGACCUGUGCCAGAAGAUGCAAUUCCAAAACAUUUUAAAGCAUUGCUUUGCUUCUCAUUGCUCUUACAACACGAGAAAUCCAAGUGGGUUUGGAGAGGGCUGAGGUGGGGCUGAGCCGCUCUGUGUGCUCCCGCCCAGACACAGGGCAGCGGGCACGGAGCGGGGCUGGAUCCAGCUGCCUCGUCCAGCUCGACGUGCAGAGGCACUAGGUGGCAUCAGCACUGCACAAUCUCCAUCAGCGAACGUCCUCGCCCAUCCCAGCGCUGGGCCCAGGUGGCUGAUGAAACACUUGCUGGAAUUUACCAGGGACAGGGGGCGAGGACUGCAGUGAGGGUUGACCUCGACCCCUCCAAAAAAAAAAAAAAAAAAGGAAAAAAAAAGGAAAAAAAGGAGCAUUCUUUGCAAAAAAAAAAAAAAAAAGUAAAUCACACUACUCACUUUUACAGCCAUUUGUUGUGCAAGCAUCGGACGCUAUCCCCAGGUCUGAGGCAGAGCCGAGCCCCAGCAGGCCGGGAGCAGCCCCGAGGUGCUCAGCUUGGGCAGGGAGAGCCGCGAGCGCAGCCACAGGCCGGUGAAGAGCCGGGGCUGCAGCACAGCGAGGACACGAGGGACAAGGCGCAGCAGGAGAGCAGGUACCUUAACCGAACGGCUAAACGCAUCGAGAAGAAAAACAGCAGCAGCGAGUCCCCCGCCUCGCUGCUGCAGCUGAUCAGGAAGGAAAUCUCACCUCUGAUAAAACGAAACAACAUUUAAGUCAGAAGAAAGAUUUUUACAUUUCCAGAGCAGCUCGGUACAGAAGGCGAGGUGAGGUGGUUCCUGGUGCAAAUCCGGCCCCAGCUGCUCUGCCUCGGGACGGGGAUGAAGCAGAGGCUCUGCCUUUCUGCCUCACAGUUCUGACUGCGUCCCCCUAACGGGAGGGGAGCCUGGGUCCGUGCACAGGGAAAUAACAGCAUGACGCUACAGAGCAGCAGCUCUCGCUGUUUUGGGCAGAAGGAAGCCCUUUACCAAUGUUUACCCAACAGCACCGAGCACCCUGCGGUGAGGAUGAGCCCAGAGCUCGUCGCGCAAGCCACGGGGCCGAGCUAAGCGAGCCUCGGACCACAAGCCUGCUACGGGCAGAUCUGUGUUUGUUUUUUUUUCUUAGCACCAUUCAUUUUGCAACUGAAAGUUUUGCUUAUUCCAAGAUACGGAUUUAAUGCUUUCUCUGUGGUAAAGCAGCACUCAGUGCUGCACAGACAGCAGACACAAAAUGAGCAGUUAUUCUUGGAUAAUUUAUUCAGAAAUUUAAUAUAAACAGUUAAUUGUUCAAUAUUCUGACACACGGCAAGAGUUUUUUCUUAAUGCUCAGAGAUAUUUUCUGUACAUGUCACUGCUUGGCUCUUACAUACGAAAACACUGAAAAAAAUAAACCAAGGGGGAGUUUUUUUUUCUUUUUUUUUUUUUUCCUCCUUUUUUUUUUUUUUUAGAAAAAAUCAUGGCACAUUUGAUCCUUUAUUUCAAACAAGAGGUAUCUGCAAUACUGGAACCUUAGAUACGCAGAGAGAAAGGUGGGAGCAGCAAGUUUAAACA